CCCGCGCUCCUCCGGGCAGAGCGCGUGUGGCGGCCGAGCACAUGGGCCCGCGGGCCGGGCGGGCUCGGGGCGGCCGGGACGAGGAGGGGCGACGACGAGCUGCGAGCAAAGAUGUGCCCCGGGACCCCCGGCACCUUCCAGUGGAUUUCCUUGCGGAAAGGAUGUUGGCGGUCCCUGUGACCUGUGGAGACACGGCCAGAUCUGCCCUCCAGAUUUAUUAGGAGAAAAACCUUCCCGGAAGCUGCAGAAGGACAAAUACAGAAUCCGUGUCUGGGAGAAACCUCGUGGCCUGGUCUCCAUUAUUUGAGAUGAGUUACAUCUUGGAGGCCUGAUCUUUUGGCCAGAAGGAGAUUAAAAAGAUGCCCCUCAAGAUGGCUGUGCCUGUCAGCUGCAUGGAGCUUCGUUCAAGUAUUUUCUGAGCCUGAUGGAUUUACAGUGAUCUUCAGUGGUCUGGGGAAUAACGCUGGUGGAACCAUGCACUGGAAUGACACACGCCCGGCACAUUUCAGGAUACUAAAAGUGGUUUUAAGGGAGGCUGUGGCUGAAUGCCUCAUGGAUUCUUACAGCUUGGAUGUCCAUGGGGGACGAAGGACUGCAGCUGGCUGAGAGGGUUGAGAUCUCUGUUUACUUAGAUCUCUGCCAACUUCCUUUGGGUCUCCCUAUGGAAUGUAAGACCCCGACUCUUCCUGGUGAAGCAUCUGAUGCACGUUCCAUCCGGCGCUCAGCUGGGCUUGAGCUGACCAUACUCCCUGGAGCCUUCUCCCGAGGUGCGCGGGUGACCUUGGCACAUACAGCCAUCAUGAUGGUACUUUAAGUGGAGGCUGAAUCAUCUCCCCUUUGAGCUGCUUGGCACGUGGCUCCCUUGGUGUUCCCCUUUUACUGCCAGGACACUGAGAUUUGGAGAGAGUCUCACUCUGUGGUCCAGGCUGAAGUACAGUGGCAUGAUCCCAGGUCACUGCAACCCCCACCUCCCGGGUUCAAGUGAUCCUCCUGCCUCAGCCUCCCGAGUAGCUGGUAUUACAGGCGUGUGCCACAAAGCCUGGCUAAGUUUUGUAUUUUUAGUAGAGACGGGGUUUCACCAUGUUGGCCAGGUUGGUCUCGAACUCCUGACCUCAAGUGAUCCACUCACUUUGGCCUUUCAACGUGCUGGGAUUACAGGCGAGAGUCACCGCACCCGGACGACUCUGACAUUUUUGAAGAGUCCAGAAUCCUGUUACACCUGGGAUUUAGGCACUUUCAAUCUGAAAAAAUACAUAUCCUUUCAGCACUCUGGACGGACUUGAGAACUGUCCUUACGUGACCUAAAGCUGGAGUAUUUUGAGAUUGGAGAAUUAAGGCCAACAGAGAUUUUGAGAAACACAUUGAAGGAUCUGUUAACACUUGAUAUACCCAAUAAAAGCAGUGGUUGUGCCAGUGCUGAUCUGUCUUGAUGUGAAUGUGAACAAUGGGAACCUGAGCUGAGCAGUUAAUGCUAGGGUGACAGAAACUGGACCUCUCCCAAGACAUGUGACAGAGUAAUACAGCAGCCAACUUCUUCGCCAAAUUAAAGUUUUACAAGAUUUAACCUGUCAUCAAGACCUGGGAUUUUGGUGAGCCAGUCUUGGUGCUCUGUGUUCACCUGGUUCAUCUGAGGAGCUGCAUCUACCCUGCCCAUGCCAUAGAUCCUGCCCUGUUUGCUUCUCCUGUUGCUGCUAGUGGACAUGAGAAGGACAGAAUAACGGGCUCCCAGAUUCACAAGCCCCACCAAGAGGAUCACCCCAGGAACGCUUGGAGGCUGAGGAGUUCACUGAGGCUACUGCAUCUUGAGACUCAGGAUGAAGACCCAGCUUGGGGCUGUCAAAGAGGCCUGAAGAGGCAGAACACCCCAGAGGAGCCUGGGGCCACCACCCAGCAUCACUGUGGGAAAACGGCAGCAGGAAAUGUCCUCUCGCCUGCGUGCUCCACCUCGGUCCACGCCUUCCCUCCUUCUGGAAGCCUUGCCUGACCACUGGCCUGCCCCUUCUAUGGGAAUCACUACUGACCUUGCAGCUUAUUAUAGACUUAUAUGUUUUUUGCAUGUCUGACACCCAUGACUCCACCUGGACCUUAUGGCUCCACCCAGAAGCAAUUCAGCCCAACAGGAGGACAGCUUCAACCCAUUACGAUUUCAUCUCUGCCCCAACCACUCAGCAGCAAGCACCUGUUACCUGUCCACCCCCACCCCUUCCCCCAAACUGCCUUUGAAAAAUCCCUAACCUAUGAGCUUUGAAUAAGAUGAGUACGAACUUCAUCGCCCACGUGGCGUGGCCGGCCUCGUGUCUAUUAAAUUCUUUUUCUACUACAA
rnacentral:lncRNA from 1 species